rnacentral:lncRNA from 1 species
UUCGGAAUGCUGUUAUUAGGAUUUUUAUGCUAAUUAUUCUUUGCAAAAUCCUUCAGCCCAAUAAACAACUACAUGGCUGUUUUGUGAUAUUUCUAACUACCUGAUUUUUUAAAAGACACUUUUACAACAAUCAUAAUUUCAAGAUAUAGUGAAGCUGUUUACAAGAAGGAAACAAAUGAUCUUUUUGUAUCCAACUCAAGUUCCUCCUGUUUUAUUUUUAAGAGCAUUGCUAUUUUGCUACCAAGAUCAACAUUCAGGAAGGCAUAGUGGCCCACAAUUGUGAUCCCAGCAGCUGGUAGGUUGAAGCAGGAGGAUCACUGUAACUUUGAGGACAACUUGAAUUACACUGUGAGUUCCAGGCCAGCCUAAACUAUAUAGUGAAAACCUAUCUCAAAAAAGAAUAAAUUUUAAAAAAUCAGCAUAGUAGCUAAUAUUUUGUAUGUAUGUAUAGGGUUGUACA